GAAAUGUUUUUUGUUAAGUUAUGGAGCGGCGUCGAGGUCAGCAAAAAGUACCUCAGUGUUAUUGUAGGAGAGUGAGAGUAUUAUCUGCUGGAGGCCAGCCAGCCUCCCAGCCUCACCUCGUACACUCAUCUACUGUCAUGGAGCCAUAGUGUUCCUAGAGAAAAUACCUUGUGAAGUGUGAAAAUGGCAACUAAGGAAGUGACAGUUGAAAGUGAGGACACUGGUGUUGAGGUCCGGAUAAUUGGAGAUCCAGUUGGUAAAGGGCUGUUUGCUACUCGUGAUUUUAAGUCUGGAGAAGUUAUCUUUGAAGAGAGACCGCUGGUGUCCUGUCAAUUUUUAUGGAAUGCAGCCUAUGGAUACCUUGCAUGUGACUUUUGUAUGAGGCCCCUCGAAACUGCAGAAGAAAAUGCUUGCAGACUGACCCAGAAUCCUCAGUUGACGCUGCCAUAUCCCGAGUGCUGUGAUACCAAGAAGGAUGCUGUAGUAGAGUGCCCUUAUUGUGAUGCAUCAUACUGUAGCCGUGACUGUAGAGAGAGUGCCUGGAAUCAGUAUCACGAAACUUUAUGCUUGCGAUCCUUCAUGCCAGAUCCCUCUCACCCUCUUGUAAUGCUACAAGAAGCUUGGAAGUGGUGGGGUUUGCAGCCUGAUACUUAUCACUGCCAGGGGUCUGCCAGCCAAAAGAAAAUAAGGACCAAUGAAGUAGAGUAUGGACAGAUGCAUUACCCUCCAGAGACCGCUUGCAUCAUGCUCCUGGCACGAAUCAUUGCUACUGUUCGCCAGGCUGCUGAUAAGGAGGGAGCAACAGCUCUGUUCAUGCAGUUUUGCCAUCGCACUGUGAACGAGGAAGAAGAGAUUGCCCAUAAAUUACUUGGAGCAGAGUUCCAUGACCAGUUAGAGGCUCUGCGAGUAAUGAUGGAAAAGGGAUUAGGUGCACCAGAAGUUCAACAUUGGUUAACACCAGAAGGCUUCAGAUCUCUUGUUGCAUUAGUGGGUACAAAUGGACAAGGUAUUGGCACUAGUCCUUUGAGCCGAUGGGUGCGUAAUUGUGAUGCUCUGGAAAUUUCUGCUGCAGAGAGAGAGAAGUUAGACCAAAUAGUUGAUGACAUGUAUGUCCAAUUGGAAAAAGAGGCUGGAGGGUUUCUGAACAAUGAGGCAUCAGGACUGUACCCACUGCAGAGCUCUUGUAACCACAGUUGUGAUCCUAAUGCCAUGCCCACUUUUCCAUACAAUAACUUCCACUUAGUGAUGACAGCAGUGAAAGACAUCUCAGCUGGUGAUGAAAUCUGUGUCAGUUAUCUAGAUGAAUGUAAUCUGAGCAGGAGUCGACAUUCUCGCAUUACUAUUCUCAGGGAAAACUACCUCUUCACCUGCCGUUGUACCAAAUGUGAGGAACAAACUGGAGACCCAGAUGUGACAAGUGAAGAAGAAAUGGAUGAAGAUGAAGAGGAGGAAGAUGAGUAAAGCUGAAACUGCUUUACUUCUUCACUCAGUUCGGCAAGGCAUGAAAGAACCUUUCCUCUCAGUAGCCACCUGACUUCUGCGUGGAGAUGAUGAUGAUGGUAUGGCGAGUCCAUACUCUCACACAGAUUUGUGAACAGCCUGGAGUUCAUAGCUCAACUAUGGAUUUCAUUUAUGAUCUUCACCGUGUCAUUCAUCACAGUGUUUAGCUCAGUAGAAAGCUUCUUUGAACCUAAGUGCUCCCAGUGGAUCAUAUAGUUAGUGGACAAAAUUUCUGGAUGAGCAACGUCCUUUAUUUUUACUACACCUGAGCGCUGUCCCAUCAUGCUCGCAGCACCGUCCGUACACACUGACACAUUUGCUCCAGUCUAAGCCCUGCACUUAAAAAUACUCAUCAAACUUGCAGUCCAUCCAGGCUGCGCUGUCCCACUCAAGAUUGAGGCACCUGCAAUAACAUUUUGCUGACUGGCAGAAAAUUUCUGCAGACCAGCAGUUGAAAACGGCUGCUCUAUACAGUACAGUAUAAGAAGAAAGUUGUUUGAAGUAAUUUUAUUUUAGUAUUAUUACUAGUGUGAACUAUACUGAUUGAUUUACUAAUGAAAAUUUCAUUCAUUACAUACUUUUUUACAGUUGCUGUAAAUGUUUAUCAUUAAUAAUUCAUUAUUAAGUGCAAAAUUAUAUAACACUUCUUUGGUGACUAUUUAUUGUUGACUGAUAGUACCUGAUAAAUUAUUUUUUUUUUUCAGUCAUAUUAGGUUAGCUUGUAGAUAUUUGGUUGCUGGUAAUUAUUUUUAGAUACUGUGCUUGCAAGGAUCAGCAAAGGCAUUACAUUUUGGAUAGUGUCAUACUACUGUAUUAUAAAAUUAUGUUGCAAUUUGUUGCAGAAUAAAGUUCAAAACAAUCUUUUCAUGUAAUGAAUUUUUUUGCUAGUCUUAGAAGGCAUAUUUGAUAGAUUUAUGAAGCAGUGUUUUGUAUUUGUGUUUUCUGUGCUUUUAAUAAUGUAUUAAUAAGUUUAGACUAAUGGUACCUAGAUGUUCAAGAUCUAGUCUUAUUUAUCUGUAUUGUAUUUAGGCCAAUGAUACAUUUUUGAUUAAAACUGAAAUUGUUGUUUUAUGUUAUGGAUUAUUAUUAUCUCUUAAUUUCAGUCCCCAGGAGUUUUGGUGCAAAUAGCCAUUGUGGUAUAAAACAAUUCAUAACAACAGGAAAUAAAGCUGAAACAGUUAAAAUAAAUGUAAAAACUCAUUAAAUUGUAUUUAUACUCAGGGUUCUUUGUAUUGAUAUAUGCUAACAACUUUUCUUCAAUCAUUGUAUUUCCUUCUAAAUGUAGCCAAGUCUUCUAUUUCUCCACACAAAAUAUAUUUUCAUGAAAUUUGUUUAUUUAACAUGUUUUACUACAUGGUGCCAUAUAGUUGGAUAAAAUUUACACAUCUUUUUAAUUUUUUAUUUCUUGAAUGUAGUAUUGAACUUGUAGGCGAGUGAUAGAGUGUUCAGCUUAUACUCUAAAACAACUUAGGUUUAAUCCCUAUGUGAAGUAAGAAGUAUAGGUGCACAAGAUUUUUUUUUUUGAGUUGGCUGAAAUGUUUGUUUUACUUUGGAAUUACCAACGUGUAACUUACAAUGUGUAUGUGAUUUUAUAUUUUUUUUCUGUUCUCAUGUUUACUUAGAAUAUUUUAAAUAAUGAACCUUUUUAAUGCUUAACACAGAGAAAAAUGGUAAGUAGGCAAUGCAGUGAGGUUUUUAUUGAUAUAGUAGAGUCCCACUUAUAUGGCAGGUUAGGUUCCAGGAUAUCGCCGGAGAGCAGACAUUGCCAGAAAGCAGAAUGCCAUUUUUUUCCACUUAUAAAUGCAUAUAAAUGCCAGAUAACAAGUUAACACUAACAUAUAUUAAGGUAGCAAUAGAACUAGGCAUUAAAGGCAAUUAAAAGUAAAAUACACACACAGUACACCCAUUACUUACCUUAAAAUAUUCAUGGUCUUAACAUGGGCUGCCCUGCCAGCCAUGGCAGCCCACCCCACCCACAUGUAAUAUACUAUGACAUUUAGAGUGCCCCAGAGCAAUAAAAUACAUAUACAGUACAUUCAUUAAUUACCUUAAAAUAUUUGUAGUGUUAAUGUAGGGUGAGAGGUGAGUAAAUGAGAUAAAACGAAUAAAUGAGAGAGAGAGAGUAAGUACAGGAGAGAGGACAGACGUGGAGUUAUGUAAACAAACUAGAUGAACACGUUUUGGUUCAUAUGUUUGUAUUAUAACAUAUUACAAACACUUUACAUGUGUACAAGUUGUCUCCACAUUGAUACAGUAGAAUAAAUAAAGAGAAACACUCCCAUUCUCAUGUAACACCGUUUUUAGAAGAAAUGACUGAGUGAAGGCAUACGAAAGGAAUAAUUUUCUAGUUACCCCCCAGUAAUAUUAUGGUGUACACAUUUUCUCUGAUGUUGGAGUAGAGAAAACGUUAUUCUUGCCAUCACUCCUACAAGUCGCCUGGCUACAACAUCUCAUAUUUAUGUUAAUUUAUUCUACUGUGGGGGGAUUUAUCAUGUUUAUAUGUUAUGUACCAUGUUUAUUAUAUAAUUUUGAAAAAAAUAUCAUAGAUGGAUUAAUGGAAAUGUCUAUAUUAACGUAAUAUACGACAUUUAAUGCACCCAAAAGAUUAUUAUUAUUAAUAUGGUGUCAAGAGAAUAGAGACUCUUAGUGAUUUUAAUGUGCACCUGCAUGCCAGCACAUUAAAAGGUACAGGUACAGGUACACAUAAGUAUAAUUGUCAGAGUACAUAUAAAAUAUGCAAUAACUUUAACCUUUUGAGGGUCGGUCACGUACUUGUACGUCAUUGCAGGGUCGGUCACAUACCUGUACGCGUAAAUUCCAGGGCCUUCAAAUUUGGUGGAAGAAAGCUGGCAGGCCUACAUAUGAAAGAAUGGGUCUGUGUGGUCAGUGUGCACAGCAUAAAAAAAUCCUGAAGCACGCAGUGCAUAACAAGAAAAAAAAACUCCGACCGUGUUUUUGGUUUAAAACAGUGACUUUCGAGUGUAUUUUCAUAUGGUAUUUAUGGUUGUAUUCUUGAUUUCUUGGUCUCAUUUGAUAGAAUGGAAGAUAUAUUACAGAAAUAGAGAUGAUUUUGUUUGGUUUCACGAUGACAAGUACCUUGAAAAUGAGCUCAAAGUAGCAAAAAUGUUCGAUUUUUGCUGAUGUUCAAGAGUAAACAAAUCAUGCCACAAGUCCAAUACACAUCAACUGGUGAGUCUAAUAUUCUUUCACAAGUGCGUUGAUAUUGUUUAUACUGUUUUUGCAAUGCUGCAGUUGUAUACGUAACAGUAAAUCUUCUAUUUUUUGUGAGAAUAAAAAUGCAACAUGGAAAGCAAAAGUAAUGUAAGAGGGGCCUGGAGAUGUGACUAAUGAACAGAUAAUAUGUUAUUUUAGUGUCAGAAAUGUCUGUUUUGUUUAUUUUGGACCCUAUUUUGAAAUUUGUGUGAAAUUGGCCAAAUUGCCAUUUUCUGACCACUUUAUUGGGUAGUUGAAAUAAGUAAAUGGGAGGUUUCUGGUAUUCAAUCGAUAAAACAAAUGGAGUUCUAGUGAAAUAGCUAUGAUUUUAGUUGACCGGAGCAUUGGAAUUGGCCAAAAAUAGGACUAACAAUGGGCAAAAUUGCCAUUGUGUAAAUAUCAUUGAUUGCUAACUUCCAUAGGUUUUCCAUCAAAUUUCACACUUUUGGUGUCAUUAUGUUCAGAAAAAGAUUAUCAUUUCGUAAGAAUUUUUUUUUUUUUUUCGAAAAUUUUUCAACCCUGAGAACAAGUUUGGGAGAGGGCCUCUUGACCCUCAAAGGGUUAAAACACUUGAAAUUUUGGAAAGUUUCCUGACACAAUAGAGAUGUGCUCACGAAAAAUGUAAACAAACCGGGUGGGGCGCACCAUAUUAGGAAGACGGGGAGUCGUAUAGCAAGUUUUGAUCGUAAUUUGAAAUCGCCGUAUUAGUGGAACGCCGUAAAGUGGGGCCCUACUCUACUGCAGCAUUACGCCUUCAUUCAGCAUAUGGUAGGGCUGUGACUUACAAGAUUCUUUUUUUUUUGUCUUUUCACUAAUGACAUUGACAUUUUGGACCAAAUUAAUUUCUUAUGAACAAGUGACCUGACUUGUAUUUUUUUUGAGAAUACCUUGGAACCAAAUGUUCAUCAUGACUGGAAACUACAAGAGUAGUGGUAUUGCCAUCGAAAAGAAAAUUUCUGACUGAGGUGAUGUGCAGUGGACCCUUGAGUUUCGGCGGCAUCGGCUUUCGUGAAAUCCGACUUUUGGCAAGUUUUUUUUGGCAAAAUUUGGCCUCGCAGUUUGUGAUUAGACUCGUGAUUCGGCGACCGUCUGGUACCCGUCUGCCCAUCACCGCACACACAAAGCCAGUCUCCCACGCCAUUCACGCUCAGUGUGCCAUUGUUUACCAACACGUGACCAACACCCCGCAGGUUCAUACAUAAUAAUCCAUUGUUUUUUGUGAUUGCAACUGCUAAAUAAGUCACAAUGGACCCAAGAAAAGCUAGUGCAAGCCCUUUGGUAAAGAAAGUGAGGAAUCUAUUGUGACAUUGGGGAUGUCCCUUGGGUUGGAGGUGAGUGGUGAGGAUGUGGAAGAGUUGGUGGAGGACCACAGGGAAGAGCUAACCACUGAAGAGCUGCAAGAGCUUCAUCUGCAACAGCAAGAGAUCACAGCUCAGGAAACUGCUGCAGAGGAGGAGGAGGAAGAGAGAUGGAGGAAGGUGCCUUCAAAGAUUAAGGACAUUUGUGCAAAGUGGACUGAAGUGCAAACAUUUAUGGAUGAACUUCACCCUAACAAAGCUGUUGCAGGCCGUAUUGGCAACAUAUACAAUGACAGUGUCGUGUCCCACUUCAGACAAAUCUUAAAGAAACGCCAGAAACAGAGCUCUCUGGACAGAUAUUUUGUGCGACAGGGCUCCAGUGACUCUCAAGUUGUUCCCAGUGCCAGUGUCUUUAAAAAACAAAGAAGGGAAGUAACCCCAGAUAAGGACUUCAUACCUGAAGUCCUAACGGAAGGAGAUUCUCCUUCCAAACAAUAGUGUACACCUUCCUUCUAUCCCCUCCUCCCGUCUUCCAUCCACCCAGAAGUCUUCAGUAAAGGUAAGUGUAAUAUUAUUUUUUAUAUGCAUGUACUUGAUUUCUCAUUGUUUUCAGUAUGUAAAUCUUUAUUUAACUUGAAAAAAAUAUUUUAUUUUAAUAUUUUUGGGUCUCUGAAACGGAUUAAUUUUAUUUCCAUUAUUUCUUAUGGGGAAAAUGGUUUCGCCAUUCCGCAAUUUUGACUUUCGGCAGGCUCUCUGGAAUGGAUUAAUCACGAAACUUGGGGGUCCACUGUAUAUGCAAUUAACAGAAGCAUGUUGAAGGUAAAAGAUUUGGUAAAAAUUCUUGUGAGAAAAUUUAACGGAAAUUAAAUCCCGCCCGUGGUAUGGUUUGUUUGCAAUCGUGUCAUUACAAUUUCGUGAGUCAUUAAAUACUGAGAAUUAGGACUUGGGAAUAAAUUAAUCCAUUUUAAAUUAUAUCUCAUGGGAAAAUAGGUUCUAAGUACCAAACAACUGACCUACCAUAAAUUUCUGGAAAUGCAUUUACGUCAGCUGGGGCCCUACUUUACAGAGGAUAGUAAUAUGCCUAAUGCAGAAAAAAUAUUACAACCAGUGCGGAAAAAAAUGAUCUUUUCAGUGUAGCAGAUCAUCUGAGAUUCAAAUGUUCUGCCUAUAUAAAUAACAGUGGUAGAUAACAAAUUUUGUCAAUCAAAAAUUAUGCUGUAUUAUAAUAAAUUUGUAAUUUACCUAUAGGUCAUCUUGUUACGGUAUUGGCACUGGUACAUUUAUGAGUAUAGGUGUUCCUUACCAUACCACAUACGAUUUCGUGAGUUAGGUGCUCCUUACUUGAUGCAGUAAAUGCACUCCAUAGCAAUCAGAUCAUCAGCACUUAAUUCUGCAUUAUAAAAAUCUUCAGUGUGUUUUGUGAAUCAUACUGCUUGCAUAUGGCAGUUGUAUAUCACAUGGAAUUACCAGUAGAAAUAGGAUAGCAAACAUUAGUGCAUUUACACAAAACAAAACUGCAUGAAGGGAAGGAAAUCUACAUUGGCUUUGUUCUUGGUUGUUACCAUAUAAUGCAUCAUGACAUCUGAACUUUAUGAAGAUGACAUAUGUAUGCUUAACCCUUUGAGGGUCCAGACUCCCAAUCGGAAAAUUCCCCACAGGGUCCAAGAAUUUUAAAAAAAAAAAUUAUUUUUUCUUAUGAAAUGGUAGAGAAUCUUUUUCUGAAAGUAAUAAAACAAAAAGUAUGAAAUUUGAUAACGAAAACUGAUGAAAUUACACUCUUGCAAAUUUUGCUGUGUCAGUGAUAUUUACACAUCUACAAUUUUGCCCACUUUGAGUCCUGUUUUUGGCCAAUUACAUUGUUCCAUUAGACCAAAUUCUUAGUUAUUUUGCUAGUAUGUGGUUUUAUCUAUUGAGCACAAGAAAUCACCCAAUCAACUAUUUCAACUACCCAGUAAAGUAAUUGGAAUUUGGCCAAUUUCACACAAAGUUCAAAAUAUUCCAAUUUCCAAAUAGGGUUCAGAAUAAACAAUGCAGGCAUUCCAGGUACUGAAAUAACAUUUCCUCUGUUUAUUAGUUAUGUUUCCAGGCUUUACACAUGAAUUUCAUUUUGAUUUUUUUCACAAAGAAUUUAUAUUCACUCCAAAAAAUAGGAGAUUUUCUGUUAUGCAAUAUUGUAAUAAUUGUAUAAAUAAUAUCAGUGCAUUCGUGAAUGCACAUUAGACCCACCAGCUGACGUGUACUGGGCACGUGGUGUGAUUUGUUUACUCUUGAACUUCGGCAAAAAUCGAACAUUUCCGCUACUUUGAGCUCAGUUUCAAGCUUUCUUCAGUACUAAAAUCAAUCAGAAUUAUCUCUAUUUCUGUAACAUAUCCUCCAUUCUAUCAAAUGAGACCAAGAAAUCACGAAUACAACUGUAAAAAUCAUUUGAAAAUACACUGCAAAGUUGCUGUUUUAUUCCAAAAACAUGGUCGCAGUUUUCAUUAUGUACUGUGUGCUGCAGGAUUUGUUUUAUAUGGUGCACACUUAUCACAUAGAUGCAUUCUCUCAUAUUUAGGCCCAGAUUUACUGCUCACAGCUUAUGAGUGAGCUGCGCUCAUGACGUAGUACUACGACUUGGGACCUGGCCUCAACGCCAUAGAACUAUGGGACGGACCCUGGAGAAGUUAAUUACCAGUCAAGAAAAUAUGUAUUAUUAAACUAAUUUGUUCAUGCUUUCAAAAAAAUCUUAUAACUGCUUUACUGUAAUAUGUGUUUUGAUAUAAAAUCAUGCAUUUAAGUUAUACAUUUAAAGUUAAAUAUCUGUUUUGAAUUGUGAUGUCUGUACACUUCAGGUAAAACAGCAAAUCACUGAAUAACAGUGAAUGCAUUUCAUUUUUUUAGAGCUUCCCUCCCUUGAUGGGUGAUGACUGAUGUUUAAAAAAGAAUUAUUUACAUUUAAUUGUGAAAGUUGUGAUGUGUGGUUAUUAGUUGCCAUUGAGAGGAAGAGUAAUGUGGAAGAGAAUAUCAUGUUUUUUUUAUUACCGGUAAAUUUGUACAAUAUAAUGCAGCGUAGGAAAAUAAUGAUUCUGUAAGUGAAGAAUUUUAGACUUUGAGGUCAGUGCUGAAUAACCCAUAGGGGUCUAGUUUUUGUGAAUACUGUAUAAUAAUAAUAAUAAUAAUAAUAAUAAUAAUAAUAAUAAUAAUAAUAAUAAUAAUAACUUAUGAAUGAAUACCAUGUAGCUGUGUUAAGAAAUGUAGUAAUAAUUUUGAAAGUUUGUAGUGAUCAGUCAUGUGUACUUCAAUUUUUAUUAAUGAAAUACUGUAUGUAAGGUAGUUUAGUCUUGUGUGCUUUGAUUCUAAGUACAAUAUAUAUAGGAUUUUUUGUGUUGUGUGAUUUGAUUCUAAGUAUAAAAUACACAUGAUAGAGUAAUAUCAUGUGCUUUGAUAGUAUGGUAUUCUGUACUGUACAUUAGCUUGUUUAGUCUUACAGUUGUCUGCCUCAGUUCUGAAGAAAUGUGAAAGCACACUAUCUGGUAUGUAUCAAAUUCAUUUUAUUAAUUUUUACACAAUGAGAUGGUUAAAAACAUACCCUUUCAAUUUAAAGUUAACAAGUUUGACUACUGUAUCAGUUGUUAAAAUGAAAAAGUAAUUUCUUUUCUUUAAACUAUUUCGGAUAGUCAUAACACAUUAUCAGAAUGAGUGCAGUGAGAACAUCAUUCAUAACUAAGUAACCUGUGCUAGGUUAGGUCUUUACAUGUUAUCUUCAUUACUUAACUGUCAGUGUAUGACAAUGAUACCUCACUUGUUUGACAUGCAUCCUACCGUUGCUUGUAGUUGCAAAGUACAUGUAGCUUUGCAAUUGGUGCUGUAGUUUCAUACUAAAUUAGAUAUUUUAUACAUUCGUGUUGUUGUUACUGUUAGAACUAAUUUCAUACUUUUGCUGAAUAAUUUUUUUUUUACUGUGUAGGUAGAUAAAAUCUUCAGCCACUUUUAUUUGUACUGUAUUGAUUGAUGAUAUUUCUGCUUGUGAAAAGGGAAGGAGGGUUGAUGUAAAUCAUUGAAAGUUGUAAAUAGUUUAUAUGCAAGUGAUCUUCCAGUUAGGGUGUGUUGGAAAGAAAGUAAUUGUUUUUCAGUAAAAGUUGACCUUAGACAGAAAUGUGUAAUUUUCCAUUGUUCUUUAACGUGUUCAUACAAGAAAAAAAGUUUUAAUGCAAUGGCUGGAACAAUUCAUUAUUAACCUUCAAUUGGAAAGAUGAUAUUUUGGUUUGUAUUGGACCAUUAUCUGGUUGUGACUUAAUGAUCUAGGACAAACAGAAACUUCAAAUUAAGUUUCUUUACUGUUGAAUGGUGAAGUGAUCACAAAAGAAAUGCUCAUGUCAGGGAAAGAUGUGGUAUUCCAAGGUAAUGAAUCCGAUAUAAAAGGGAGAUGACACAUUGCUGUUGUGAGAUUUGGAAGAGAAACUGCAAAGAUUGAUAUUGGAGCUUGAAAAGGAUAUGCAAAGAGAGAAAUCUGAAAGUGAAUUAAAAAAAAAUAGUUGAUGAAAAGAAUAUGAAAACCGAAGUAAUAUUUCCCAUAAGAAAUAAUGUAAAUACAAUUAAUCUGUUCCAGAUACCCAAAAAUAUUAACUAAAAAUGCAUUUUUUAAAGAGCAACUAUAGUUUUACAUUCAGAAAACAAUGAGAAAUAAAUAUAAAGCACUAAUAAAAUGGAUAAAUGAACAUUUAAAUCACUGUUAUAUACCUUUAUUGAAGACUCCUGUUGGUAUAUGGAAGAAGGCGAGGAGGAGAGAGAGAGAGAGGAGAGCUUAUUGUUGGGAAAGGGAUCCCCCCUCCAUAAGGACUUCAGGUAUCAAAGCCCUAUCCGGGGUUAUUUCCCUUCUUUGUCUUUUACUGGCACUGGACCCCUGUUGCACUAAAAAUCUGUCCAGAGAGCUCUGUUUCUGGUGUCUCUAAGAUUUGCCUAAAAUGGGACAAGGUAUUGUCACUGAAUGUGUUGCAGAUGUGCCUUGUAUCAGCUUGAUCAGGGUGAUAUCUUUCCACAAAAGUUUGCACCUCAUUCCAUUUUGCACAAAUGUUCUCAAUCACUGAAGAAGGCACCUUCUUCCCUCUCUCUUCCUCCUCCUUUGAAGCAAUUUCCCCAACUGUGGUCUGUUGCUGUUCGAAAAUGUUUCGGAUGAACGCAUGAAGUAAUACUCAACCAGUGACAGAGCCAGACUGAGAGACAUACGCAUGAGUGGCAGUGUCCCGGGCAGGCAGACGGAUGUGUCUGAUACAUACAAUUUCUGGGUGGAGGUACGAAAUCUGGACCAAAAUUUCACCCAAACAAGUGGUCUAAAUCCAGAAUGUAGGAUAUUCGAUGCUUAUGAAAUCUGGAGUUCCACUCUACCUAGUCAGCCUUCUUAUAAAACUCCUCUUUUAAGUUCAGUUUUUUUGUAAAUGCUGUUGAAAAAGGUCUAUGUGUACAAAAUUGAAUAGUGCAUGGAGAAACCUUCAUACUAUGUUACUCAAUUUUAGAUGCAGUUUUUCAGUUGCAUUUACAAAAAAAUCAAACUAUAUGAAAGAGCUUUGUAAGAGAGUUUGUGUAUUGUUUAGAUACUUAAAAGUCUAUGAAGGAUGAGGUAAAUCACAGAUGUCAUAAGAAAGAUGCAAAAUUGUUAAAGAAUCCAAGAAAAAAAAGUUUUUGAUGAAAAACAAUGGAAAUCUAUCAUGAGUGUGAAGCAGUACCUGACCAGUCAGGCUGUGGUUUGUACAUCAGUUUGCAUGCACUGAGCAGUAAUAGCCUGGUUGAUGAGGCCCUGAUCCACUGCGAGGCCUGGUCAUGGACUGGGCUGCGGGGGUGUUAACCCCUGAAACACUCUUCGGGUGUACUUCAGGAGGUGCCUGGAGGCAAUGAAAAUGUCAUGAGAGUGGUGUUAAUAUUAUGGAGUAAUUGAAAAAAUAGAGAUAGGAAGAUGGUGUUGUGGAAUGAGAGGCAUAAUUCAGAGUAUAGAAAAGGAGUUCUUGAGAAGGCUUGGUUAGGUAGAAAGAAUGGAGACAGAAUGAUUAAGAGGGUGUAUAAGGCGUGGAGUUAAAAGAUAAAGAAUCACACGUAAAGUGGGAGUUGUCAAAGUUGCUCUUUGCUGAUGACACUGUGCUCUUGGGUGAUUAUGAAGAGAAGUUGCAGAGGUUGGUGGAUGAAUUUGGUAGGGUGUGUAAAAGAAGAAAAUUGAAAGUGAAUACAGGAAAGAGUAAGGUUAUGAGGAUAACAAAAAGAUUAGGUGAUGAAAGAUUGGAUAUCAGAUUGGAGGGAGAGAGUAUGGAGGAGGUGAAUGUAUUCAGAUAUUUGGGAGUGGGUGUGUCAGCGGAUGGGUCUAUGAAAGAUGAGGUGACUCAUAGAAUUGAUGAGGGGAAAAGGGUGAGCGGUGCACUUAGGAGUCUGUGGAGACAAAGAACUUUGUCCUUGGAAGCAAAGAGGGGAAUGUAUGAGAGUAUAGUUUUACCAACGCUCCUGUAUGGGUGUGAAGCAUGGGUGAUGAAUGUUGCAGCGAGGAGAAGGCUGAAGGCAGUGGAGAUGUCAUGUCUGAGGGCAAUGUGUGGUGUGAAUAUAAUGCAGAGAAUUCGUAGUUUGGAAGUUAGGAGGAGGUGCGGGAUUGCCAAAACUGUUGUCCAGAGGGCUGAGGAAGGGGUGUUGAGGUGGUUCGGACAUGUAGAGAGAAUGGAGCGAAACAGAAUGACUUCAAGAGUGUAUCACUCUGUAGUGGAAGGAAGGCGGGGUAGGGGUCGGCCUAGGAAAGGUUGGAGGGAAGGGGUAAAGGAGGUUUUGUGUGCGAGGGGCUUGGACUUCCAGCAGGCAUGCGUGAGCGUGUUUGAUAGGAGCGAAUGGAGACAAAUGGUUUUUAAUACUUGACGUGCUGUUGGAGUGUGAGCAAAGUAACAUUUAUGAAGGGAUUCAGGGAAACCGGCAGGCCGGACUUGAGUCCUGGAGAUGGGAAGUACAGUGCCUGCACUCUGAAGGAGGGGUGUUAAUGUUGCAGUUUAAAAACUGUAGUGUAAAGCACCCUUCUGGCAAGACAGUGAUGGAGUGAAUGAUGGUGAAAGUUUUUCUUUUUCGGGCCACCCUGUCUUGGUGGGAAUCGGCCAGUGUGUUAAUAAAAUAAAAAAAAUAAGUGGUUGAUAAAAAGAAAUGUAAGGGAACUCCAAGGAAAGGCUGGAAGGAAAGUCUGUAAAGAAAUAUAGCUGGAGUGGGAACUCCAGCUAUGAUAAAUGAGACACUUAUGCAACAUUUGAGUAUCAAUUUUGGAAAUGUUUCACCAACCAGUGACUUUUUCAGUCUGAUGCAGACAAAGGUAGAAGAUAAGGAGGAGUUUGAAGUAAUCAGUCCAUCAGCCUGGAGUCGAUGUGUUCAAUCCAUCAAUCUGAUGAAAAUGCAACACAUUCACAGAUAUGGGGCUUAUAUACCUCUGACAGACGAGGUGGAGCAAUGGUAAGCGGAUUCACUAGUGGAAAAACCCACUAGUGGAAGUAGGCCGUGUCUGUAGGUUAGACAAGUUUUGAAAAAAUCCUUGCAUCAAGAUACCAAGAAUUUGAAUAAAUGAUUUAGAAAACUGACAAGUUGAUAAAUGAGAUGAUUGUGCAACAUUUGGGUAUCUUUAUUCUGGAAACAUUUUGCCAACCAGUGGCUUCACUUUUAUCAAGAUUGAUGGACUGGACAUAUUUAUUCCUCAUCUUCCACCUUUGUCUACAUUGGACUGAAGAAACCAAUGAUUGGCAAAAAGUUUCCAGAAUAAAGAUAGCCAAAUGUUGCACAAGUGUGUCAUUUAUCAACUUGUCGAUUUUCUAAACCAUUUAUUCAAACUCAGCUGUACCUUGCUGUCAUUUACCUUUGGCAAGGCAGGGUUGAACUAAAUAAGAAAAUGCAUCCAUCAUCACUUUCUAGCUGCCUUGGCAAGACAGACAUAUCAAGUUACCAAACUACAAGUCCAUCUGAAUCAUAAUGCACGCAUUAUUUCUCACCUCUAAAACUGGUGUUCCUAAACCCAUUUCCAAAUACGUGCUUGCACUCAAAUAUCACAUCAAAUUCCAGAGACUGUUUGCUCUCUCUAUUGUUGAUCUCUCUCAUACACAUGUUGGAUGAUGAAGCCCCAACUUUUCUUUGGAUGAUUUCCCCUACAUUUCAUUUUAACCACCAUUUAUUUAUACACCAUCUUAAUCAUCCUGUAUCUCUCUCUGCCUCUCUACCAUGCUAUAUCUUCCUAUUUUGUAAAACGCAAGUAAUUCUGAGUAAAAGUAAGAAAAAAAAAUUGAUAUAUUUUUAUCCUUAUGACUUCAAAAUGCAUUUUUGUAAGCUAACUUAUUGUGUGGUCCCUUCAAGAGGGGAGUCCCUUACCCCCUGCUGUACAUUCACCUGACCACGACCCACCCAUGAACCCAGUACUGUUUUUGGGCAACACCUUGUUAGCAGAACAGGUGUUCAAGCUGACCCUAUUGAUACCUCUAACCUUUGCUCUAUCUUGACCUUUGCUCUAUCUUGUUGCAUGUCAUAGGGUGCAACUUAUUUAGAUGUGCAAACAAACAAAAAAAAAAAAGCAAUAAGUGGGAUUUGGACUGGAUGUCACAGAGUCACUCGUUUGCUCAGAAUUACUAAACACUAUUGUGAUUGUAUACAAGCCACCAGAUGCAACUUCCUAACAAUUCAAGGAACAGCUUUUGAAAACUGACUACUAUUGAAAAUCUAACAAUCCCAGCCCCAGAUGUCUUGUUGAAGGAUGAUUUCAAUUUAAGACACCUAAAAUGGAGGAAUGUGGCAAAUAAUGUUUUACAAAGAAGAUUAAAGCUUUUAUUUCUUUGCAAAGGUUACAAUGUGUAAAAACAAUUUUGAUUUGUUAAGUACAAAGAAAGCCACUUCCAUGCCGGGGCAUUUCGGGC